AGGUGAGGGGGGAAAGGGAUGACUGCUGUAUCCACAGGCUGGCUUCACAAUCCAAGGGAAACAACAGAGCACUGGGAAUUGCAGAGCGCAAAAAAGGAAGAUCUACAGUUGCUGUUCAGCAGGGGUGCAAGACACCCUGAAGUUGUGGGCAAGAAGCAUUCAAUCGGCCAAAAGAGAAUGAAGCCUUCCGGCUGAACAGAUGAACUGCUCUCAAAACGAACAGUGCAAGUAACCCACCACGUGCCUUCUCCCACGCUGAACUGAAGCUCUACGCCAACCUGUACGA